rnacentral:lncRNA from 1 species
GCGUGGUGGGAGUCAGAUAUAUAUCCCUAUUUUAUUCUGUGGCGGAAUUCUCCCCGGGACAUGCAUGAAAAGGAAAGGAGGGAAGAAAAUGCAAAAGACACUUGACCAGAUAAGCAUUGUGAUUUAUUUGAUGGCUCUUCUAGACGUACUUUGCAUCUGAUACUUGAGUCUACGGUUCAUAAUUACCUUCUCGUUCCGUACCUGUUUCCCCAAGCUUUCGUUUUUACCUAACACGUAAGUUAAUUGAAACGUGAGUUUUUUUUUUUACCUUCCCUUUGGCAAAGAACGGUCAAUAUCU